rnacentral:rRNA from 1 species
UGAAGGUUGGGUAACACUAACUGGAGGACCGAACCGACUAAUGUUGAAAAAUUAGCGGAUGACUUGUGGCUGGGGGUGAAAGGCCAAUCAAACCGGGAGAUAGCUGGUUCUCCCCGAAAGCUAUUUAGGUAGCGCCUCGUGAAUUCAUCUCCGGGGGUAGAGCACUGUUUCGGCAAGGGGGUCAUCCCGACUUACCAACCCGAUGCAAACUGCGAAUACCGGAGAAUGUUAUCACGGGAGACACACGGCGGGUGCUAACGUCCGUCGUGAAGAGGGAAACAACCCAGACCGCCAGCUAAGGUCCCAAAGUCAUGGUUAAGUGGGAAACGAUGUGGGAAGGCCCAGACAGCCAGGAUGUUGGCUUAGAAGCAGCCAUCAUUUAAAGA